rnacentral:rRNA from 1 species
CCUACGGGUGGCAGCAGUGGGGAAUAUUGCGCAAUGGGCGAAAGCCUGACGCCGCGACGCCGCGUGAGGGAUGAAGGUCUUCGGAUCGUAACCCUCUGUCAGCAGGGAAGAACGGUCACUGUGCUAAUCAGCCGUGAAUUGACGGUACCUGCAAAGGAAGCACCGGCUAACUCCGUGCCAGCAGCCGCGGUCAUACGGAGGGUGCGAGCGUUAAUCGGAAUUACUGGGCGUACAGCGCCCGUAGGAGGUAUGUCAAGUCAAGGGUGAAAUACCCGCGCUCAACGUGGGAACUGCCGUUGAAACUGGCAAACUGGAGUGUGUGAGAGGAUAGUGGAAGUCGAGGUGUAGGAGUGAAAUGCGGAGAUAUCUGGAGGAACAUCAGGGGCGAAGGCGACUAUCUGGCACAUAACUGACGCUGAGGAGCGAAAGCGUGGGUAGCAAACAGGAUUAGAUACCCGUGUAGUC